AGUUAGCUGAGUCUUAAAUUUGUCAGGAGGCAAUCACUAGAGUUUGAAAAAUACAUAACUAACCCUCUUGUUUGGUAAAUAAACAAUAAAGUAAAGAGACUUGGCACAGGGUAUGUGGUGGGGGCUUGGUCACUAAGUCAUGUCUGACUCGUGACCCCGUGGUCUCUGUAGCCCGCCAGGCUCCUCUGUCCAUGGGAUUCUCCAAGGUAAGGGAUUGCCAUGCCCUCCUCCAGGUAUGUGCAUCUUACUAGAUACAUCUUAAGCAUACUCAAGGAAGUCUGUGUGUGUAUAUAUAAUAUGAACAUAUAUCAUAAGUUUAUCUAAGUAUAAGAUGAAGUAUAAAAGCAUUGCUUUCCCACCAAUGGUAGCCUACUAUUCAAAUUGGUCUGUAUUCGUUUUUUUUUUUUUUCCACUUAAGUAUGUAGAAAGAGAAUUAUUUCAUUUAUUCAUUUGCUUAUUUAUGUUUAAUUUUGCCUGUGCUGGCUCUCUCUUGUGGCACGCGGACUCUCCAGUUGAAAAAAUACUACCUAGGCAUUCUAAUGCCAUAAAACUUGAAUAUGAGCAGUCGGCAUCAACUAAACACAGCCGUUAGACCGGAAAGAGAUAAAUCAAAAUUCCUUUUAUGGACAGGACUCAGGCACAUGUCCGGGCGUGGCUGUGGGUGGGGUCUUCCAGCGCCGGCUGCUUGGAAGCAGCGUCAAACGUGCAGGUGAGCCUGGAGCCCUGAGCCCUGCCAGCGUGGCCUUCCAGCUUCCUGGGCAGCCUCCGGACCGGGCGGGUACCCUGAUGCAGCAGGAACAGACGGUCCGCCGGGGAAAGGCUGCAGCUUGCGCUGGAGGCUGGCCAGUACCUGCCUGAAGCGGUGGUUCCGCUUCCGCAGCUCGUGGAGCGCCGUCUCGGUGUACAGCGCCUCCGCCCACCGUUCCCGGGCUCUGUUCUCCUGCGAGGAGCUCGCUUCGGCAGGAGGACGUGGCUCUCUGCAGUUCUCUGUGUUCUCGGCCGUCUUCUCGUAGAGGCGGCUCUUCUGACUGGCGCAGUCCAGGCUUCCGUAGGCUUGGGGACAUCUCCUCCGUCUCCAGGCGGCAUGUUGCGGCCUCCGUUGACUUCCUCAGUAGCUGCUUGACCUGCUCCCGACGUCAUUCAGGCAGCAUUUCAAGUUUCUGCCGAAGGUUCUGAGUCUGCCUCUCCAGCUGUGCGUUUUCAGACCGCAAGGAGGCUUGCUCGGAUUUGAGACGUUUUCUUUGUCCCACUCGCUCUUCAUUGGUUUGAUUUUUUUCAUACAGUUUUCUGGACAUUUCUUCUUUUUCUUUCUUCUUCCUUUUAAAGGACACUUUUAAGUUAACAGCAUGAAUGAGACCCUUCAGAUCCGCUUCCGACAGGCGCUCUGGGGGACGCGCACUUUGUGCCUCCGUUUUCUCCCACUUCCAAGUUGCUCCUCUCAGCGGGACCCUCUCUCGAGAGGUCAGGCCGAUAUCUGGUCUUCAGCGUAAUUUCGACGAGUGACUUCAGCUGGCUCCUUUUAUCACCCCGCAGCCGCUGCAUCCGCGCGUUGGAGCGUUCCAGCACAUCUUUUCGUCCCUUUAGGCCCUGUGUCCUGCGCCUCCAUCCCUCCAUUUCUCAGGAGAGCAGUUUGAGUCGUUGCUUAAGAUGACCGUUUUCAUUCAAACCAUCCCUUAGUUGGUCCUGGAGAUGCCGCGCCUUGUCCUGAGAGGCUUUCAAGAUGUUUUUUGCCUCGGUCACCUGGAAUUGGUGGGAUUCCGCCAGGUCUCCAAGGGACCGUAUCUGUCCUUGGAGACGAGCCAUCAUCAGCCCAUGAAACGAAAGUUGGGAGGAGGGCUCACUUUUCUGUACUUUUUCAAGGAAGUCUUUCCUGUCCUCAAGAGAUGAUCCGCUUGGGUUUUUGUUGAGGACCUCCAAGCACAGGAUUUGCAAGGUGGGAGCACUGGCCACCACCACGGGCGUCUUGAGGCCUUCAUAGGCUUGUGCCGUGAGUCCAGUCUUCUCCCUGACUUUCCUGUAGACCUCAGCGCGGGCAGAACACCUCUUGGCCAGCUCUGCCUCUCUUCUUAGAGUGCUUCGGCUCUUGACUAUGAAAAGCGCCAUCGCCGCACACAGCGGGAUCUCCCAAGGAAACCCCCAGGGACCUGGGACUCCUCUCAAGGCCGCAGAGACCAGCAGGAGAGCAUCCCACAGACCCAGCGGUGAAGACAUUCUGCAGACAGGCAGCAGGCCCUUGCUGAUCCCACGGGCAUCCCAGCUCUGCCUCUGAUCUCCAGUGUCCCAUGGGCCAUAACUGACCACACGGAACCCUGUGGGUACUCUGCCUCUGUGACACCAGUUGCCUGGCAACGAGGGCGAACCACCCUUAGGGCUGAGGCUGGGGAGGUCCUGCAGGUUUUAGAAAGUCGCGCUCCCUGACUGCCCUGCUCCCUGCACAGAUCGUGGUAACACCUGCCCAGGACAUUCAGGGAGUGGACGUGGUUACAGGGCAAAGCCAGGGGGUCACACGGUGCCAGGCCCUACCCCCUUCUCUGCACACGUGAGCAUGUCGGAGCGCAGUGAGCUCUAGAUGAUGUUUCCUGAUCUCGACUUCCCUCUGCCUCAGGGAAGCCCAGGCUCGACUACAAAAGUCCCAGGGAUAGCUCUCCUCUAAGACUCACUCACUCACUCUGGCGUGUGGACCGGGAGUUCCCAGGUAGUCUAGUGGUUAGGAUUCCAGGCUUUUCUGCGGUGACCCAGGUUAAAUUCUUGGCCAGAAAACUGAGAUCCUGCAAGCUGUACUACUCGGCCAAAGAAACAAAAAACAAAAAAUUAAGUACCAAGAAGUACCCGCCAACUGAAAAGCUUCCGUCUAAGGAGGGCACCAAAUGGCUUGGAAUAAGCAGGCAUCGUUUUUCAUUAAAGAUGAUAACUUCACAUGAACUGCUGUCAAAGGAUGCUUCGGGAAAGUCACAGAAUUUGGUCAGGGAAAGAAAAGUCUAAUGAGAACAGGCUUACACUCUGGAGGGACCCAGAAAUACACGUGUUUGUAAAAUGACCCAGAUUUUACACCAAUAAAGA